rnacentral:rRNA from 1 species
UACGGGGGGAGCAAGCGUUGUUCGGAUUUACUGGGCGUAAAGGGCGCGUAGGCGGCACCGCAAGUCGACUGUGAAAUCUCCGGGCUUAACCCGGAAAGGUCAGCCGAUACUGCGGGGCUAGAGUGCAGAAGGGGCAACUGGAAUUCUCGGUGUAGCGGUGAAAUGCGUGAUAUCGAGAGGAACACCUGCGGCGAAGGCGGGUUGCUGGGCUGACACGUGACGCUGA